rnacentral:rRNA from 1 species
UACGUAGGGGGCUAGCGUUGUCCGGAUUUAUUGGGCGUAAAGAGCGUGUAGGCGGCCAGGUAGGUCUGCUGUGAAAUCCCGAGGCUCAACCUCGGAACUGCCUUUGAUACUGGCGAUCUUUGAGUCCGGGAGAGGUGAGUGGAACUCCGAGUGUAGAGGUGAAAUUCGUAGAUAUUCGGAAGAACACCAGUGGCGAAGGCGGCUCACUGGCCCGGUACUGACGCUCAUGUGCGAAAGCGUGGGGAGCAAACAGG